AAUCAUAUCAAACCAUUCUUGAGCCAAACAUCCAGUCAAAUUCUUAAUGGGUCGGAUAUAGGGUUCCUAGUUAACCAAGUGGGUCAAAAAAAUCGAAUUUUAUCACUUAUUUGAAGUAUGGAUCGAAAUUAUAGGGUGGGUUAGGUUGGAUAAUGUGUUUUUAGUCUAAAAGAAGCAGGACUUGUACAAAUUUCGGAUUAAAAAUCCACGAAAGCCAAAUUAGGGUUUUAUGAUAAUUUAACUAAGUUAAAAUAUAGCUUAAAUACAAAUUUAUUAAAAUUGAUGCAUCUUAAUCGAAAUUUGGAAGUGGGUUGAGUUUGAUUUCAUUCUUAUCAGUAUCUAUUACACAAAACAUAUAUCAAUUUCAUCAUCAAAUCGCUUCCCAUAAGCGAAUUAGGGUUUUGAAGCUCAAAAGUCAGGUUUGACUUUUUGGUCAAACUGUGUUCUUCAUCAAAUUGUGCCCAGAUUCUGAUCAAUUCGAAGCCACCGUCCAAAACACCACUUGCAGCGUCCCAGACGGUGUCCACCCUCUGUGCUAGCGUCUGCCAUGGCUAACCCACCGUCCUAGACGGUCCCCUACAUCACUCGAAUAAGCCACACGCUACCCAGACGCCAUGUUCUUCUGUUUUACGGUCAUUAGACGCUGAAGUUCUUCUUUCCAAGCCACAGUCCCAGACGGUGGCAUACACCGUCCCAGACGGUCUGUUUUUCCUGAACCACCGUGCCGGACGCCGCCGUGCACCGUCCUUUACGGUCCUCUCUAACCCUGCUUUUGUUGAGUUCUUCUUGUUCGACCUUCUUUUCUUCUAGCAUCGAUCCAGCCUCUUGUGGGGUGUCCCCUUGGUCUCUGUGGUGUCUUGCUCUGGUGGGAAGGUCGUGUGAAAAACCCUAGACCGAUUGAUGUUGCUGUACAGGGAGAAAGAUUGUAUACAUAUAUAUAAGUAUACGUAUAAAUAUUAUUACGUUUCCUUUCCCCUCUUUUUCUUUUAAAUGGUCUUUUAAUUUAAGCCCAACUCACUUGGGUCAGUUUGGGCUAUUCUUGGACUUCUUUCUUGGGUCAGUUUUGGCAUUCCUUUUUGGGUCGUCCUCGGUUUCUCUAGAGCCCAUAUCGGGUUGUCUAGCGUGUCCUAGAACGAAAUGCCUUGGUAACGGGUCGUGUAUAUUUAUAUAAAUAUAUAUAUAUAAAGAAGUACAUAUAUAUUUACGUAAGUAUACAUAUAUACUUAUACUAAUGUGCAAGGACGAUAAACCCUAAACCCUCAUAUGUCGGGCAAAACGUUAACAUAUAUAUAUAUAUACAUAUGUAUAUAAGUAUAUGCAUAUAAAUAAACACGACUAAAUUAAUUCGUAUGUCAUGUAAACUUAAUGAUAGGUCGUGAACGAUUGAGGAAUUCGGGGCAAUUAAAGCUACUCAACUUAACUUGACGAUACAAGGCAAAUGUGAACAAGUUAACCAAAGACGUAAUGGAUGAUGAUUGAUUGUUUGCAUGCUAGGAUUGGACUUGGACCAUAUCAUAUGCCAUCUUUUGUGCUAUCUUUUGUAAACGUUUGAUGGUCAUGCUCCUUAUGCAUUUUUGUAUGAUCUCGGGAUUGUAAUUGAAUAGUUGUAUGGAUUUCCAAUCCUAUUAAAUGCAUUUAGACUUGUCUCUACUUAAUUUCCA